rnacentral:rRNA from 1 species
GACGAACGCUGGCGGCGUGCUUAACACAUGCAAGUCGAGCGGUAAGGCCCUUUCGGGGGUACGACGAGCGGCGAACGGGUAGGAGUAACAACGUGGGUGGACCUCGCCCUCCAGCUCUGGGAGUAAGCCUCGGGAAACCGGGGUACGUAAUACCGGAUAUGACUCCAUGACGCAUGUUGUGGGGUGGAAAGCCUUGUGCGGCUGAGGAU